UACGGGGGGGGCAAGCGUUGUUCGGAAUUACUGGGCGUAAAGGGCGCGUAGGCGGCCCUCUAAGUCAGACGUGAAAUCCCACGGCUUAACCGUGGAACUGCGUCUGAUACUGGAGGGCUUGAAUCCGGGAGAGGGAUGUGGAAUUCCAGGUGUAGCGGUGAAAUGCGUAGAUAUCGAGAGGAACACCAGUGGCGAAGGCGAGUCCCUGGACAACACCUGACACUGAGGCACGAAAGCUAGGGGAGCAAACAGG
rnacentral:rRNA from 1 species